UACGUAGGAGACGAGCGUUGUCCGGAGUUACUGGGCGUAAAGGGUGCGCAGGUGGUUGUGCGCGUGGGGGGUGAAAUCGCCCGGCUCAACUGGGCGGGGUCAGCGGAUACGGUGUGGCUCGAGCAAGCUAGGGGGCAAUGGAAUUCCCGGUGUAGUGGUGGAAUGCGUAGAUAUCGGGAGGAACACCAGUGGCGAAGGCGGUUGCCUGGAGCUUUGCUGACGCUGAGGCGCGAAAGCGUGGGGAGCGAUCCGG
rnacentral:rRNA from 1 species